rfam:Glossina austeni unplaced genomic scaffold Scaffold27, whole genome shotgun sequence.
UUUAAUAUGAUGUUAACAUGUCACUGAAAAGUUGAUUCAAUCUAUACUGGAGCGAAUCGAAACUUUAUUUAAAGGAUGUUCGCUUAAGCGAGGCAUUUGCCUGAUUUUAGC